rnacentral:rRNA from 1 species
CUUAGCUUGCUAAGAUAGAUGGCGACCGGCGCACGGGUGAGUAACACGUAUCCAACCUUCCGGUUACUCGGGGAUAGGCUUUCGAAAGAAAGAUUAAUACCCGAUGUUGCGUAUCUUUCUCCUGAAAGAUACGCCAAAGGAUUCCGGUAACCGAUGGGGAUGCGUUCCAUUAGGCAGUUGGCGGGGUAACGGCCCACCAAACCUUCGAUGGAUAGGGGUUCUGAGAGGAAGGUCCCCCACAUUGGAACUGAGACACGGUCCAAACUCCUACGGGAGGCAGCAGUGAGGAAUAUUGGUCAAUGGACGGAAGUCUGAACCAGCCAAGUAGCGUGAAGGAUGACUGCCCUCUGGGUUGUAAACUUCUUUUAUACGGGAAUAACAUGAGGUACGCGUACCUUAUUGCAUGUACCGUUAUGAAUAAGCAUCGGCUAACUCCGUGCCAGCAGCCGCGGUAAUACGGAGGAUGCGAGCGUUAUCCGGAUUUAUUGGGUUUAAAGGGAGCG